GAUGAAGAACGUAGCGAAAUGGGAUAAGUAAUGCGAAUUGCAGAAUUUCCGUGAGUCAUCGAAUCUUUGAACGCACAUUGCGCCCACUGGUAUUCCGGUGGGCAUGCCUGUUCGAGCGUCAUUAUCCUCCCUCAAACCCCGGGUUUGGUGUUGGACCCAAGUUGUGUGAACAACUGGUCUCAAAGACAAUGACGGCGUCCGUGGGACCCUCGGUGCAACGAGCUUUUAGGAGCACGCAUCGAGUUGCAAGGACCUUCCGGGCCGGUCUCCUUUACCAUUUUACAAGGUUGACCUCGGAUCAGGUAGGAAUACCCGCUGAACUUAAGCAUAUCAAUAAGCGGAGGA
rnacentral:misc_RNA from 1 species